CAGACCAUUUCUACAAUUUCUCAAGAUCAUUCUGAAUCCUAAUCCUGGCCUCUGAAGUACUUGCAGCCUGUCCCAGCCCGGCAUCAGCAGCAAAUUCAACUGAACCAAAGCCUGGGCAAGCAGAAGAGAGACAUCAUCGGGACGCCGGACGACCACAUCCACUAAAUGUGGGAAAGGCUUUUCCAAGGCUUUUGAACUCCAAAGUGGAACAGAAGGAAGACACAGGGGGGACCUACACCGUUCAGUGUUGUUUUCCUUGCACAGGAAGCAGGGGAG